rnacentral:rRNA from 1 species
CCCGCUGAACUUAAGCAUAUCAAUAAGCGGAGGAAAAGAAACUAACAAGGAUUCCCCUAGUAACUGCGAGUGAAGAGGGAAAAGCUCAAAUUUAAAAUCUGGCAGUCUUUGAUUGUCCGAGUUGUAAUUUAGAGAAGUGUUACCCGUGUUGGCCCGUGUACAAGUUUCCUGGAAUGGAACGUCAUAGAGGGUGAGAAUCCCGUCUUUGACACGGACUACCAAUGCAUUGUGGUAUGCUCUCGAAGAGUCGAGUUGUUUGGGAAUGCAGCUCUAAAUGGGUGGUAAAUUUCAUCUAAAGCUAAAUAUUGGCCAGAGACCGAUAGCGCACAAGUAGAGUGAUCGAAAGAUGAAAAGCACUUUGAAAAGAGAGUUAAACAGUAUGUGAAAUUGUUGAAAGGGAAGCGCUUGCAACCAGACUUGAGCGCGGCGGUUCCCCCGGUCUUUUGGCCGGGCUACUCCGUCGUGUCCAGGCCAACAUCGGUUCUGAGGGUCGGUCAAAGGCCUUGGGAAUGUAUCUACCUACGGGUAGACUUAUAGACCAGGGUGUCAUGCGGCCUCUCGGGACCGAGGAACGCGCUUCGGCUCGGAUGUUGGCGUAAUGGUUGUCAGCGACCCGUCUUGAAACACGG